UGUUUUCUGAACACAUGAGCUAUGGCUAGGUUAGCGAGAGGUGUUGAUGCACAAUAUGACGGUCCUGGUCCAAUAUCACGACGG